rnacentral:rRNA from 1 species
UGGGGAAUCUUAGACAAUGGGGGAAACCCUGAUCUAGCGAUGCCGCGUGUGUGACGAAGGCCUUAGGGUCGUAAAGCACUUUCGCCAAGGAUGAUAAUGACAGUACUUGGUAAAGAAACCCCGGCUAACUCCGUGCCAGCAGCCGCGGUAAUACGGAGGGGGUUAGCGUUGUUCGGAAUUACUGGGCGUAAAGCGCACGUAGGCGGACUAUUAAGUUAGAGGUGAAAUCCCGGGGCUCAACCCCGGAACUGCCUUUAAUACUGGUAGUCUUGAGUUCGAGAGAGGUAAGUGGAAUUCCAAGUGUAGAGGUGAAAUUCGUAGAUAUUUGGAGGAACACCAGUGGCGAAGGCGGCUUACUGGCUCGAUACUGACGCUGAGGUGCGAAAGCGUGGGGAGCAAACAGGAUUAGAUACCCU